GCCAGCACAGGUGCUGCAUGGUUGUCGUCAGCUCGUGUCGUGAGAUGUUGGGUUAAGUCCCGCAACGAGCGCAACCCUUGUCUUUAGUUGCCAUCAUUCAGUUGGGCACUCUAAAGAGACUGCCGGUGUCAAACCGGAGGAAGGUGGGGAUGACGUCAAGUCCUCAUGGCCUUUAUGACCAGGGCUACACACGUACUACAAUGGCCGGUACAAAGGGCAGCCACUUAGCGAUAAGGAGCCAAUCCCGUAAAGCCGGUCUCAGUCCGGAUUGGAGUCUGCAACUCGACUCCAUGAAGUUGGAAUCGCUAGUAAUCGCAGAUCAGCACGCUGCGGUGAAUACGUUCCCGGGCCUU
rnacentral:rRNA from 1 species